GCUGUGAUGGCCGAGUGGUUAAGGCGUUGGACUUGAAAUCCAAUGGGAUCUUCCCGCUCUUGGCA
rnacentral:tRNA from 1 species